rnacentral:rRNA from 1 species
UCGGACGGGGGAGUAACGCGUGGGUAACCUGCCUCAUACAGGGGAAUAGCAGCUGGAAACGGCUGAUAAAACCGCAUAAGCGCACAGUGCCGCAUGGCACAGUGUGAAAAACUCCGGUGGUAUGAGAUGGACCCGCGUCUGAUUAGCUUGUUGGCGGGGUAACGGCCCACCAAGACUACGAUGGAUAGGGGUUCUGAGAGGAAGGUCCCCCACAUUGGAACUGGGACACGGUCCAA